GGUGCGCAUGGAGAGGAGAGGUCCUGGGGGGGGGGGGGGUGUUCCGCGGUGCUGGUGCCCCUGUAGGGUCGCUGGUCCCCGGGGUGGGGUUGGGGGCACGGCUGGGCAGCGUCACCCCCUCUGCAGCCCGCUGGCAGCCGGCGGGGGAGCUGGGAGCUCUGCCCCACGCGUGGCGGGGACGGCAGCCUCUGUGGCACGGCAGGGAGCGCGCUGGUGAUUCACGCUCCCUUUUUUUUUUUCGCUUUUCUUCCCCAAACGGGCAGCUGACGCAGCUCGGACAGCUCGCUCUGUGGCCGGGCCGUGGACUCCUUCCGCGGCUCGCCCCGACUUCCCCCAGCAGCACCCCCGAAAUCCCCUUUUGGGGUGUUUUGCCCACUUCCAGCAGGGCUGCUCCCAGCGGGGUGACUCGGUGCCCGCCGUGCCCAGCACCAGCCCCGCACGCAGGCUGCUCCAGGCCUCUGCGUCCUUUCCUCCGGCUCCCGGGGAGUUCCCAGCGUCUGUGGCAUCCUGCCGGCCCCUCUCAGCCUGUUUAUCUCGCUGUCUGCAUGGCUGGAGAUAACUGGGACACAGAGCUCAGCUCCUGCCAAAGGUCCCCGGGGAAGCCAGCAUCAAAGCGUGCCCGUCAUCAGGAGAAAACGCAACGUGACUCGUUCCUCCUGCCGCUCCCGGUCAGGUUUCUCCCUUCUAUUACAGGUCUGUAGAAAACAGGAGGUGAGUCAGGGUGCUGCGGGGCGGGAGGCGAGGAUGGAGCUGCGCAGGGAGACAGCUGCUAAGUGAAAGGCAAUAAAUUGUGAGGGAGCAGCCUGUGAAACUCCAGCGACCAAGUUCCCGAGGCUCCCUUAAAAGGGGAGAUUUUAGUCCGGGACAGCGGGGAGACAGCAAAGCCAUAAACACCCCCGAAGGAAUGUGGCUGCUGAGAAAUGAGCAUCCCGCAGCGUGGGGGCCAGCUCAGCGGGGGGAGCGGGGCCGCACUGCCCGGCUCCUUGGCCAUGCCCCUCGGGGGCACGCGGUGGCCACCAGGGCUAGCGGUCCCCAGGAGGCUCUCGCUGAGCCCCGUGGGUGUCGUGUCCCUGCCUCCUCAGGCUCCACACCAUGCAGAUGUCCCCGACGGCCAGCUGCUGGCACGGGAGCUGGUAGAGCUGGCAGGUCCUGUGAGGGCAGCAGGACACCCAGCCCCGGUGCCGGGCGAAGAAGGGGAACUCCUGGAGCACCUCCACUGAGACCUGGGCAGGGCGAGGAGAGGGCCCGCGUCAGGAGCAGCCCCAAUGCCACCAGCACCCACUGCUUGCCCCACUGCUGAAGGGCAGCCUCCUGAGGCUGGGAGGCUGGCCACCUCCUUCCCAAGCUGCCUUCCACAAGCCCGGCAGCCCCACCACACCCCACAGCUCCUUCUUUCCACCCCACAUCAGGAGACGUGACCAAGGCCAUGCAGCAGCUUGGUGGCGGAGCUGGAGUUCACCCGUUUCGGCCUUCCCUGGCCUCUGACCCUCUCCUCUGUAGGGCCGGGGCCAGCCUGGCAUUGAGGAAAGCCACCGAUUCCGUGGUUAGGGUGCCAGGGCCGGCUGGUCCCGCUCUGCCUGCGCACUCUCAGCUCUCUGGGGCUGAUGCUUGGAAGGGUCCCCUAAGGAUGAGGCUGGUGAUCUGGUGGGGACAUGUAGGUGGGACCAUGCAGCCUGGCCUGCCUCUCCCCGCGGCCCCACUCCCUCCGCGCAGAGCAGGACUGAUGUCCUUGCCCGCUUCCCUGCACCUGGCAGCCCUCACUGCCAGCUCCUGGAGGCGCAGAGCUUUUGGGGAAAAAUAUUUGCAAAGCCCAGGCAGCUCCUCUGGGUGAUGAGAGCGCAGGGGAUGGCUGCUCAUGUCAGUGCCUGCACUGUGACGGCCCCCGUGCAUUUGGGGACGUGGGGAUCCCCUUCCUGAGGACAGCCCCUCACGCACCUGCCCGUCCUGCUCCCCGAGGCAGACCCGCAGGGAGGCGAAGCCGGCAUGCGAGCUCCUCCGGAUGCCCCGCACCACGCACGAGCUGAUGCGCAGCUCGGUGCCGGCUGCCGCGCACCGCAGGAAAUCCUCCUCCCGCAGCUCCUCCACCUUCCUCUGCUCGCCGCCGGGCAGCACCGCCAGGGAGCCCCGCUGGAAGUGGGGCAGCACGAAGGCCGUGCUGGCUGUGGGCAGCAGCAUGGCCCAGAGCCCCCCGGUGCCGGCCGGGGCUCGGCACUGCCGGUACGCGACCGCGGGGCAGAGCGGCUGGGAGUAGAGCAACGCGUGGGACGGUGCUGUGGGGGUCAGCCCUGGGGAGGUGGAAAUGUGGGCAGGCACCGGGGUGGGCACCGUGGGGACGGUCCCCGUGUCAGCAGGCUCCUCGCCUGUCCCCUGCGGGGAAGCCGCCCUGAGAGGGGGCUGCGGAGGGGCAGCGCUGGUGGAAGGUGGAGGUGAGGGGCUGGGGGGCUCCGAGGGGUUUGGUGUGGGUGGGGGGACACUGGCAUCGUGCAGGCUGGCAGCUGCCCUGCUCAGCUUGCCCGUACCCACUGCCAGUCCGUAAUACACCCGUGCCCUGGGGACACUGCCUGUGGGCAAUGGGGUUACCGGGGCGAGCCCCCCGCCCAGCUCUGUGCCCCCUGCGCUCCCAGCCCCAGCUGGUGCCACCGGGCUGGCUGCAGACCAGAGCCCUGGCAGGGCCCCCACCGCCCCUAUCCCCAUGUCCUGUCUGUCCCCGUGCUGCCUGCUGGGGGACAUCCAGGCUGGGGCGUGCAGGCAGCUGCUGGCCCCGGGACAGCCUCGGGGGGUGCCCCAGCCCCUUCUGUAGGUGGCGGCGAUGCCCGGGGGCUGUGGGCAGCCCCCUGCUGCCCCAUCAGCAGUGCCUGUGGUGGAGCCGGGGUCCCUCGUGUGCCCAGGCAGGGCGCAUCGUGCCCACGGCUGCUGGGUGCCCGCAGGAGCCACGGGCCUCACGCAGCAGGGUGGGUGCUGGGGCGAGGGGCAGGCAGCCCCGGGCCCCCCCGGCAGCACCCAGGCACCUGGAGCUGGUGUGGAGCCCCAGUGCCUGGGGCUGCCCGGGGCCGGCAGCGCCUUCCUCGCUGUCAUCUCCCGCUUCUUCGGGGGCAGGCUGAGCCCCCCCGUGACGGUCCUGCUUUCGGCACCCUCCGGCAGCCCCCCUUCUUGGGACAUUUUGUGGGGCUGCUGCAGGCAGGUCCCGGAGGCACUGCGUCACCCGUGGGGCUCGGAGAGCAGGAGCAUCUAGGAGAGCACCAGGAGCAGGGUUACAGGGCUGGGAAGUGGUGGGGCUGGGCGCACAGCAUCUGUGAGGCUGGCAAUAAUCCCAUGCUGGUGACAUCGGUCCCCGUGGCAGAGGAGCAUCAGGCCCUGGGGGGAUGCUGCCUCGGGGCUGGCUCGUCCCUGCACCCCUCGGGGCUGUAGGUGCUGCGGGGACAGGGUGGCACCUCAGGGGGAAGGGGCCAGGGCCAGGCUGGGCUGGCUCCAUCCCCAUCUCACCGUGACAGCUCGGGGCUCCCAUGGGGGGUUUGGGGAGGGCUGACGGGGGGCAAGGGAAGCCCCUCCUAGGGCUUGGGGCCGAUGUGACCCGUAGUGGGUCAGGCAGUGGCACCAGGAGGCAGAACAGAUGCAAGAGCGAGGUUGAGCCCCUUUGAAGUUGGGCAGGAGCUGCCAAAAAGCAGCAGGUUCAGCUGGUGCUGAGUUAUUUCUCUGGCUUUCUGAAUGCCAGCCGCAGGUCCCACCGCCCCCACUGUUCUCCCCUUGUGCUCGGCUCCCAGCCCUGGCUGGCUUCCCACGCCAGGGAAACCACACUAGCUCUUUUUACUUUCACGGGGGCUACACAAGCAGCAAGGGUUAGUGACAGAGCCCGGCCACUCAGGGAUGCUCUUUUCUGCCAUAAUCAUGAUUUUUAAAUUUCUUUUUUUUUUUUUUCCCUGCACAGCAACAGCUUUAAAACUCAGCUGGCUUAAUAGAAAUGCAGCACAACUGGCCCCAAGCGGGUGAUAUCUCUGAGCUGGACAUGCCUGCAGCAGCCCCCAGCCAGCACCAGGUGGGUGCUGUGCCCUCCGCAGCUGCUCUGCACCACUGCAGGGUGAGGGCACGGCCUGGCGAGGGGCUGCGGAGAGGCUGGGGGGAGCGGGAUCUCUCUGCCCUGGUGCCCGGGACCAGCCCCGUUAGCCCUCGGAGCAGAGCUGUGCCAUACCACCGUGAAGGGUGGGCAAAAUGGGAUGGGGUCUGCAACUUCCCUGCUGUCUGUGGGGCCAGGGGAGGACAGGAGCUUGGCAGGGACAGCCACCCUGGGUGCUCAGAUGGGUGCAAAGCCACACACCCCCAGACCAGGUGACGUUCCCUCACCCUCCUGCUCACCCCAGCACGGCACUGCCGAGCUCCAGGCUCUCCCCCAAAGCACUUUGCUCCCCCAAACACCUCGGACACCCCAUUACCUCCUGCCUGGAGCCCCCCGCUCCCCAUUCCCUGCCCCAAACCAGAGCCCCCCACCUUGGCCGGGGACCAGUGCAGCCCUUACCUGCUGGGGGGGCCAAGUGGGAGCCAGAGGGUGCACGAGCCACCCUGUCUGCCACGGCACCGGGGCGCACUGCGUGCGGCGGGGAAGGUCACCACAGGCCACGUGGGAGGCUGCCUCGCGCAGCGCUCCUGCUCUCACCGCCUCCUCCUGAGGCAGCCGCAGGAGGGGACGCGGGACCCUCCAGCUAUGGGCUGCGGGGCCGUGGCCCCCCGACCUGAGCCCUCAGGGUGGGAAGGGGGCUGGGGAUGGAGGUGGAUGGGGACGCUGGUGGGCUGCACCCUCGGCACGGUGACCCCGUUGAUGCUGCCAUGUGGGAACCCACGGGGAGAGAGGGUGGCCCUGGGGACUCCUGCAAACAGCCCGUGGAGCUGGUGCUGCACGAGGACUGGGCAUCCCGGUGUGUCCUCGUUCCCAAAACCAUCCCGGCAGCUCGGGGUCCCGACACCCACCCAGGCCCCGCUCAGCUGGCAGGGAAAGUGGGAGGAGGAGCAGCCGAAACAGCCUCCUCCAGCAGUGACAUUUAAGCCACCUUCUCUGUCGCUGUGUUGUGGUUAAACACGGCUGGGUGAAAACACCUUCCCCGGCUUGGCAAAGCGCUGCUCACAGUCAUCUGGGUACUGAGAGCCGGGGACGGCGGCGGGGAAGCACGCGGAGCUGCUGACGUUGGACGGGCGGCCGGGCCGGGGAAGCGGGGCUCACCGUGGGUGCCUGCCCCGUCACCCCGGUGUGGUCACACAGCCCCGGCCCCGAGGAGCUGAGGGAUGCUCAGCACGGUGCUGAAGGCACCAUGGGGCUGGGAGAGAUGCUCGCAGCCAGGACCGCAGAGGAGAGGAGCUGCCUGCCCACCGUGCGAGGAGGGGAGGAAGGGAGAGCUUCAAAUGGGAAGAUGCCAUCGGGGAUUGAAGUGUGGGAAGCGUGCAUGCAUGCUCACAUACGGACACAAAUGCAAGGAGGUCUCAGUUCAGCCACAACAAGGUUUUAUAGCUCACACCCGCACAAGGCAGCCCUCCAAAGCUGCUCGUGGCAGUGGUGUGGUGCUCUCCUCGGCAGGUCCCCGAGUGCGCUGGGCUCAUCUCCUUGCCUGGUCUGCCCCCGUGACGUGCCCAGCUGAAUGAAGCACGUGGCAGUGCAGCCGUGUCCUGCUGCCGCCCACCUCCAGCGGUCGGGCACGGGUAAAUGUGGGUAAAUCUCCCCCAGGGCUGUACCCGGACUGCUGGGCUUUGGCCCUACUCAGGUUUGCUUGCUGCCGGCUUGUGGGAUGAUGGAAGAAGGAACGGGAUGACCCUCGACCUGCAGACCUGGCCCUGUGCCCCGUCCCUUCUGCGCUUUGGAGCUGCUCCAUGCACCCGCCCUGCCCCCAGGACCUGCUCGAGGACAUCCACGGUCAGGCUGGAGACAUGGGGGACCAGCCCUGCCCGCUGGGCAGCAGGGAUCCAAAAAGCCACCUCCGCAAGGUGCUGAAGGAGCUGUCGCUGCUCAGGCUGCUGAAGCGCACGAACCGCAGGAUCCUGCGGCUGCACGCUGUGGCCGUGCAGUGCUGGCACUCGCUUGCGGCGCAGAGGCUGCCCGGCCUCCUGCCGGUCCCUCCCAGGAUGUGCCACCUCACACCAAAGCCACAGGAGGUCAUGGAGGAGGCCGUCGGCAGCCCGGCGACCAACGCCACCAGCAGCAAGGAUGUGCCCAUGGACCCCGAGACGGGGACCCCGCUGGGGGACCCCCAGCCGCUCACCAAGAACUGGGGGGCUGGCGAGGCCAAGAAGGACAUGCUGGGGACCCUGCCCCAGCGCUUCCACUUGCCAGCCCCCAAAGUGCUCUGCCGGCCGUCGGCCCAGCGCUGGGUCAAACCCUGCUGCACCCGCUCCUGCGGCGAGAGCCUGGAGCAGGUGCUCACCAUCCGCUACCCGCAGUGAGGGCGAGGCGCCGCUGCCGUCGGGCUGCCGGAGGUUCGGGGCUGGGAGGAGCAGGAGGUGAGCUGCCAAGAGGAGGUCUGUGGGGCGACGCACCGAGCCAUUGUGCUGCGAAUAAAGGGAGCGAGCUGUGUCUUCCUGA